GAUUGAAAGAAUAUUUCAACGACAAUUAAAAGACAAUUGCCAACAACAAGAAAGAACUCCAAGAAUGGCUGAACAACCGGCAGAAAGGGCCACGAACGCGAACAAUAUAAUGGCCAACUCCAUUCUUCUGGAGAAUGACCGCAAUAGACCCAUUAGGGACUAUGCAUCACCAAACCUCUACGAUUUCUCCCCAGGAAUCAUGAGGCUAGCGUUAGAUGGAUCGAGGUUUGAAAUGAAGCCGGUAAUGUUGCAAAUGUCUAGGCUGCUGGGCAGUUUGGGGGGAGGCGUGGUGAAGAUCCGCGUGCCCACAUCCGGAGCUUCAAAGAAAUCUGCAACACUUUUGUGUUCCCGAAUAUCUCCACCGAGGAAGUUCGACUCACUCUGUUCCCAUUCGAUCAAGCAAGAAAAUGGGCAUAUUCUCUCGAACCGAGAGAGAUAACCUCGUGGGAGCAAGUUGUCGAGAAGUUUAUGAAAAAAUAUUUCCCACUUACCGAGAAUGCAAGGAGAUGGAAAUUAAUAACAAAUUUUGAACAAGAAAAUGACGAAUCGCUCAGCGAUGCUUGGGCGAGAUUUAAGCGGCUGGUAAGAGACUGUCCAUAUAAUGGCUUACCAGAUUGCCUUUAGAUGGAGAUGUUUUACCAAGGACUGAACCCUGCUCGCAGAUCGCUACCAAUGUGGCAGCAGCUGGUGGUCUGCUUGACAAAACAUAUGAAGAGGCCAAGAGUAUACUUGAUUGCAUUUCCAAAAAUCACGAUGAUUGGCAAGAAAGCGAUCAAAGGUUAAGAAUUAAAGAUAAUAAUGCAAACAGUAGGGCCAUCGCAUCCUUACAGAAUCAAAUGACUGCGAUGAUGAGUUCGAUACAAGGCAUUGCAAUUAACAGGACAGGAGCAAAAAAAGGGUAGGUCAACGCAAUUGCUCAAAUGACCGUAAGUUGUGUCAUCUAUGAAGAUGCACAUUUGAUGGAAGAAUGCCCAGAAAACCCGCAGUCAGUAUGCGUCAUAAAGAAUAAUCCCUAUUCCGAUACAUACAACCCUGGGUGGAGAAACCACCCAAAUGUUGCGUGGAAUAAUCAACAACAAAACUUCCAACCAGUGGCAAAAAGAGCAGGGCCACCCAGAUUCUUCCUGCAAAAAAUCGGUCCAACGCAUAACCAAGCUAGCAGCUCGAAACACUGCAAUCUUCGUCCUUAGAGAGCUUGUUGAAGCAAUACAUUGAGAAAAAUGAAUCAGUGCUUCAGAACCAAGCAACAUCCAUUCAAGAUCUCAAAAUUCAGUUGGGACAAAUUACGGGCGAACUGAAAAUAGACCGCAAGGAGCGUUGCCGAGCUCAACUGAGCUUUCUUGCAACGCUGGGGGUACCGGUAAGGAACAAUGCUUAGCGGUCUCCUUACUAAGCGACAAAAUGACUGCGGAAGUAGGGGAGGAACCUAUCAUGACCAACUUGAAUGCGGUGACAACCGAGGACCAGUUGACUGAUAAAUCGAAAAAUCCCGAGGAAAUGAACCCUGAAGUUGCGUCCACCCCUAAGCCUUUAUAACACGAAGCAGAAGAAGUCCAGCUUCUACCAAUCCCGCAAAGAUUGAAAGAAAAACAAAAUGACGAAGACAAGAUCGCAACAGUGGCAGCAAUGCAAAAUGUCAUGAUCUCACAAAAAAUGUGUGACCCAAGAUUCUUUACGAUACCAUGUUUUAUUGGAGGGGUCUACGUGCCCAAGCACUACGCGAUCUUGGGGCGAGUAUAAACGUAAUGGCGCUAUCAAUCUUCAAACGAUUGAAUAUUGGCACACUCACGCCCAUAAAGGAAACUCUCCUGCUUAUGGACAGAUCUUGAAUAACCCUGAAGGAGAGUUGAAAAAUGCCGCAAUCUCUAUUGAUAAAUUCAUCAUGUCGGCAGAUUUCCUCAUUUUGGAUUAUAAAGUGGAUGAAGAUGCGCCCAUCAUAUUGGGACGACCAUUCCUUUCGAUCGGUCGAGCUCAAAUUGUUGUGUGCAAGGGGGAGAUUGUAAUGAACAUUAAUGGGAAAAAGUUCCAGAUUAAGGCAAUCAAGAUUUCGAAGGACAUAUAAAAGAAGAAAAAGCCGCCGUGGAUGUGAAAAGCCCAGUCGGAAUAAGCAAUCAUUGAGUUACUAUAUGACUCAACCUCAUCAGGGACACAAUCUUUUUGAAUAUCCUUUCUCUGAAUCAAUACUUCAUGAACUUUAUCUUUUUGUUAUUAUCAUCUAUCUAUCUGCAUCUUACUUCUUAUUCUAAAAAAAAAGCAAUCAUGCUGAACGAUUGCGGUAAAAGAGUUUGUUUUUUUUUAAUAUUAUUUGACCCUCUCACUGUUUUUCUUGCAACGAUCGAGGCGAACGAUUGCGGAGGUGCUACGCAGAGAAGCAACUACUCUAUUCCUUCACCGCAAUCCAAAAGAAGAAUAUCGCCGCAAGGCAGGAUGCGUCAACAAACAAUGCGGGUGACAACGCAAAUUUGGGGGUUAUUUGGACGCUAUACACUCAGAUUUGGUCAUCCUUACCUAAUUAUUAUCAUGAUGGUGAAGACAUCUGGUUGACCGUUAGCCCUCUUAUAUGCUUCCAUAUAGUAGAGUGGCAUCAUCCAGAUCGUGGAGACAGUUCAGUCUGCGACAAAUGAUACUUUCAUUGUUCUAUACACUCCCAGCACUACACCAGAUCGAUUUGAGAGGUAAGCACGAUCAAGACUGGCGUCGAAUCCAUGCGGAAUAUUUAUCCUACUGGCAUGGACGACAUGAUCGUUGUGUACAGGGAGAAUUAACAAAUGGGCCAGCUGUAUCAGACGACUACUUUCCCUAGUACAAUUCGAUCACGAGGCGAUUUAUCACACCUGACACGCUUUCUAUUACUGCAUGAAUAAUUUUAUCGGCGAUGUUCAACAAUAUUUAGUGCAGAAUAACUUACCAGAAUUGGGUUCAAUGUGUCAGCAAACAUUAUUCAACGUAGAAUGUAUUAUUCAACAAACAAGAGGACUGAAUGUUGCUGACAUCGAUCGAAGACGUAUUCGUCGUAGACGACAGCGAAAACAGGGUAAACCUAAUUUAGAGGGACACGAAGACAACCCUCAUAAGGGGUAACGGCCAGAGGGGGUCGUUUUUAAAUCACACAUUGUAUGAUUUUCAAAUUGUAAAUUAAAGAACUAAU